rnacentral:rRNA from 1 species
UACGAAGGGGGCUAGCGUUGUUCGGAAUUACUGGGCGUAAAGCGCACGUAGGCGGAUACUUAAGUCAGGGGUGAAAUCCCGGGGCUCAACCUCGGAACUGCCUUUGAUACUGGGUAUCUCGAGUCCGGAAGAGGUGAGUGGAAUUCCGAGUGUAGAGGUGAAAUUCGUAGAUAUUCGGAGGAACACCAGUGGCGAAGGCGGCUCACUGGUCCGGUACUGACGCUGAGGUGCGAAAGCGUGGGGAGCAAACAGG